ACACACACAGAGCACCAGUGUGUAUAACGGCCUGGUUGGCUUUGCGUCUCCGUUGGUGACAGAGAGGGGCGGAAACUGUUCCAGCCCCACCUCUACAGCUCAGACCAGCUUCGCUGCAGCGGUGAGGUGCAGCGGUGUGAAGACUCAGACGGACUCAAUGUCC